AUGAGCGGGGAGCCUGGAAGGCUGGGUGUUUUGGGCAGAGGGAACAGGUCAUCAGGGAGAGGAGGACAGGCCCGGUGUGGCGCAGCCUGCCCAGGAGGAGAUGGCAAAGCCAACAGCCUCCACGGGCUCCAUCCUGUGGUGGCAGGAGAACAGAGCCGGGCAACGGGAGGGGCAUUCGUCUCCUUGAGCCAGGAAGCAAUCUUGGUCUCUCUGAGGACUUUGGGAGAUGCUGGCCUCCAUUUUCUGGAGCAGCGAAUCCUUAAGGAGAGGCGGGCAGGGCACCCCUGGCACACGGUCUCUGUCCUUGGCCCUCACACCGUCAGCGUGAGGAGGUCAUUAUGCAGCCUGAGGCAGGGCGGGCCUGGAGGGUCUGUGCUCCCCCGCCUCACACACAGAUCAGCACCUGAGGACACACAGGGUCCCCCAGCACAGCAGGGAGCCUGCUCUGGGUGGUCCCCAAGGCCCACCUCGCCCUGGAGGAACUCCCUGCCUCUCCCGCCCCUCCCUCCUAAGGAUGCGCUCUCUGUCUCCCAGCAGGCCCUUCCUCCCACACUGCCCCCAGGACCUGGCUCUGGUUCUCCCGUCCCCUCCCAGAGACCAGUGACCGGCAUCCACACCUCCACUCCCAUGCCCCUCAGAGCAUGCCCCCUCACCCCCCCACACACAGGGCCUGCCCUGCGAUGCCUGUGUUCAAGGGAGGGCAAAGCCCUGGCGUGUUCCUGGGCCCAAGCAAGACCAGGGGCCAAGGGUGAUCAGUGCUCUGCGGCCAGGAAUUUCCUGAAGGGGAAGGAAAAAAUGUCUCUGGUGGUCACCUCUAAAUUCCUGUUUUAUGUUCUGGGGAGUCUUUUAUUUCUGUUUCAGUUCCAUCUAACAAACACUGAACAUGAAACGACCUGGGAUGAGCUGGUGACCUGCAGCGGAAAGCCGGGUGCAGGAAGUGUCUUCCUCAACCCGAGUCCUCAGGAAGCUGUGGGUGGCCAGAUGCCUGCCCACUGCCUCUCUGCACUGAGACCCAGUAGCGUGGGCCGGAAACCGAGCUCCAGAGAGGGACAGGGGCUAGCUCAAAGCCACACAGCAAGUCUGUCUACACAUGCCUUGGGUGCUUGA
rnacentral:lncRNA from 1 species